ACUAAUGGAAAAAGAAAGAACAUUAUACUCAUUUAAAACACAAGUUGUGCAGUUUGUUUUCCAUAAUUUAAGAGUUUAAGAGUUAGUUGUUAGAAAAAAAACUUGUUUGUGCUUAAGACCACAUAAUAGAAGUGAAAUCUUGAACAAGCGGGGCAAGGCUGUAAUAAUUAAUAUUAUGAAAUAAAUAUAUAUUUUUGGAUUUUCACAAAGUAAAAUAACAUCUACAACAUGCUAUUGCUGUACCUACUCUCAUUUGGAUCAUUCGAUAUAUUCAAAAUGUAUGUCGAUUUUAUAAAAUCAACUAAAGGUUUCGACUUUUAAAAAUCAACAUUCAAAUCAGCACUCAAAAUGAUAGGUAAUUUUUUGCUUACAUGCCUCAUACAUUUAUGAGGGUUCCGACUGAAAAGACCCGAUCUUGCUUUGGUAGAGACUAAUAAAUUUUCGUGCAUGAAUGCGACAAUGUUCUUUAUACUUUUGUUAAGUGAGAUAUAAAUAGCUACAAUACGCUCCAUAAGUGGUGACGUCACUAAUUAGACAUAUUCAGGGACUGUAUCUAAGCAAAGCAAAUUUGCAUUGGAGUUAGAUACGAAGUUUCCAAAGUGUGCUGAUUAUCUGGUUUCGUAUUAACAACUGUGUUAAAACCUGUUAUUUGUAUUUAAAUGUUAUAGAAUAAUGGUUAUGUGUUGGGCUCCUGAAUAUAAAAAUUGUGAUGGUCGUGAAAAUGUUCGUUUUUCCGGUUUCCAAAACCUCACCCACACGAAAUCGAUGGAUAAAGUUGGUACGGAGAACUCUUUAGAUCCUGGUGCCUUUGUAUGUCUUGGACGUAUGUCAGUACCUUGUCGCAGAAUAGUUAAAGUAUCCCGUUAAAGAGUCUCGAAAAAAAUGAGCAGAAGGAAAAUAUCUGCCGUAGCAGAAGCACCAAGCGACCAUUUGAGAACAAAGUAACUACAUAUUUCUGUMWUUUAUACAUAAUCGACAUGCACAUAUAUAUAAUUUUCGAAUUACCUUCGACUUCGACUCAAGGUAUUCCUGAAACCUUUAUGUCUACAACACGMAUUUAUGCUGAAAAUGAUUUUCACCUACAACUACAGGAAGUGUUAAUGGAACUUCACAAUUUUUCUGAACGUUUUUAAGUUGAGAGUAUAAAAGGAAAUGGCAUCUUAGUAUUUAUGUAUUUUUCUACUUAUGCAAUAUUUAAAUGUUUGUUUGCAUUACUCAAAGAUAUAAGUAGUUUGUUAUUAUGACUGGCAAGUUGAAAAACUUAGUAAGCAAGAUCAGUUACUCAUAACUCUCAUGAAACUUUAGCUGAUAGUUUUAAUGUUUCGCAGUCAAAAAUAUACUGAAUUACAGUAAUA